rnacentral:lncRNA from 1 species
GAUAUUAAACAACAGAAAAAGGAAAGCAAAUACUGUCUGCAAUUUUCACACUUAAGACAUGAUUAAUAGCUUAAUCACUGGCCAACUGUUGGGCUGUAGAUGGUUGUUUAUUCCUCUUCCUGAGAACACAUUGGAAGACUCUGCAAGUGUGCUGGUUUGGACAGCUUACUUAAGGUCAAUCUUUGGAAUCCCACCAAAAAGGGCAAACCGAGAGGAAAGAGAAGAAGAGAGAGAGACAGAAAUUUAAAGACAGAUAUAGUUCACUAUUCCUGGAUUCAGCAUUGUCAGGAGUCUGGGAUGUUCAUCUGUGGAUGUUGGGUCAGUGAAGGUAAACAUGCAUGUUCUCUGUUAUAUAGUCUUGUUGGUUUGAGACUACCACUGGGGUGGCACUCUACUUAUGUCUAGAAGAUUUGAGGGUCUUUGAC